rnacentral:rRNA from 1 species
AGCAAUACAGGAAUGGCGCACGGCGCACGGGUGCGUAACUCGUGGGUAAUCUGCCCUUCGAUGGGGAAUAACCCCGGGAAACCGGGGCUAAUUCCGCAUAACAUUCCGGGAACUUUGGUUCUUGGAUUCAAAGGCGCAAGUCGUCGGAGGAGGAGCCCGCGCACGAUUAGCUAGUUGGUAGGGUAAUGGCCUACCAAGGCUAUGAUCGUUAGCUGGUCUGAGAGGAUGGCCAGCCACACUGGAACUGAGACACGGUCCAGACUCCUACGGGAGGCAGCAGUGGGGAAUCUUGCACAAUGGGCGAAAGCCUGAUGCAGCGACGCCGCGUGGGGGAUGAAGCUUCUCGGAGUGUAAACCCCUUUCGACCGGGACGAAUACCUCGCAAGAGGGGUGACGGUACCGGUAUAAGAAGCCCCGGCUAACUACGUGCCAGCAGCCGCGGUAAGACGUAGGGGGCCAGCGUUGCUCGGAAUUACUGGGUGUAAAGGGUUCGUAGGCGGUGUAGCAAGUCGGGAGUGAAAUCUCUGAGCUCAACUCAGGGGCUGCUUCCGAAACUGCUGUGCUGGAGUGUGGGAGAGGCGCGUGGAAUUGCAGGUGUAGCGGUGAAAUGCGUAGAUAUCUGCAGGAACACCCGUGGCGAAAGCGGCGCGCUGGACCACUACUGACGCUGAGGAACGAAAGCUAGGGGAGCAAACAGGAUUAGAUACCCUGGUAGUCCUGGCCCUAAACGAUCAGGACUU